CCUCAGCGUGGUCCCAGAGAGAAGGGGCGGGGCCUUAAUCACGCCAGCGAGGAGGCGACCAAUGGUGGCUGAGUUGGGCGGGCUCCGGAAGUCUGGGGCUCAGGCUUCACCCCGCGGCUGGAAAAGAAGGGGAAGGGUACUGUGUCUGAGCAGCAUCAGCUUGGGAGUCAGAAGGGAAGUGAUAUGUGUGUCUUGUGAUAGGCUGGCCAAGGACCAAGAGGAAGGAGAGCUAAAAUGAGAAGCCAUAAGAAUUUGGAAGGUGCCUCGUCAGAAGACACAAACACAAGCCAGACCCAGGAAGAUUGGAAGGGAGGGUGUGCAAGGCAGAAAGAUACACCAGCACCUGCCAUGAUGCAUCUUGGCUGAGAAAUUUGAGCCAGGAACCUCCCCUUCCCACAGGCUACCCACUCCAACCCACAGUGGAAGGAGACCCUAAGCUUAUUUCAACCUCCAUUCUGGGACAUACAGUUACCUGCAUGGGGGAUAGGACUUCCCCUACAAAGCAGAUUCAAAGAUAAAAUUAAGAAGUUCAAGAUGACAAGUGCAGAGCAUUAAACUCCAAGCAAGAGGCCCUUCUGAGCAUUGGACCCUGUGUGAUUGCCUUGAUCUUAUACUUGGUUGGACUGUGGUGAGGGAGCCAGCAGCCCUUUGCUAGUUUAUCAUGUUGCUGGAAACCAGAAACAGCAGUGAGAAUGGACUUUAAAAUCAGCCUCCUCUUGAAGACUCUUAAAUAUGGAGAACAAACAGGGUUACUGGAGGGGUUGUGGGAGGGGGGUGGGCUAAAUGGGGAAGGGGCAUUAAGGAAUCUACUCCUGAAGUCAUUGUUGCACUAUAUGCUAACUAAUUUGAAUGUAAAUUUAAAAAAUAAAAUUAAAAAAAAACCAGCCUCUUGAUAACCAUGUGACCUCAGGCUAGUUAUUUAAGUUUGGACAUCUGUGAAAUAUGGCUGAUAAUUGGUUGCUUCCGAGGGUUAUUGUGGGUUGGCACAGCACUGGCACAUAGUAUCAGUUAAUCAUAUGAGCUAUUGUUAUUAUGACAGGGUGUAGGCCAUCAUCAGUGGGGAGCUGAGGCUGGUGGUUAGAAUUGUGGAUUUGAAUGUCACAUCCCUGUGGUAAUGAAGAGUGAGGAAUUAAGAUGGUGUAGGGAGGGGUCCUGGCAUUUAAGGGUUAGUGGACAAAGAAAGAAAAGGAGAGGGAGAGGGAGGGUGUAUCUCAGGAAGAGAUAGGGCCACAGAGCCAGGGGAAAGGAAAGUCUCAAGAAAAGGAAGGGGGUCAUCUGCAGAACCAGAGGCUCUGGAGAAAACAAAUUUUUGUUUUUAAUUUUUUUUUUAGCAGUCAGAUACUCCUUGGUGAAUUUAGAUCAGUUUUAGUGGAGAGGAGGGGACAGAAGCCAGAUUAUAGCCAGUUGGGAAAGAAAGAGGAAGUAAAGAAGUAGAGACAUGUAUAGACCUUUCUUCCCAAAUAUUUGGCUGUGAAAAGAAGGAAAGAGAUUAAGGUGAUGGCUGGGAGAAGUGUCCAGUCAGAAGAAACACAAGUGGGUUUGUUUCUUGUAGGUAGAGAGCCAACUCCAUCUCUCCCAUCUCUUUCCCCUUCCUUCUUCCCUUCUCCUUCACCCUUCCUCUUCCUUCCUUCUAGUUCUCUUCUCUAAGCUUAACUUUGGAUCAUUCUGCAAAUGAAGCAGGUGACUAGGAAGCUCUGGGAGAGAGAGUGCAGCCAACUUGAGGAGGGCAGGGUGAACAGGGAACAGCACUUGCCCUGAGGAGCAGAGCAAUGGGGUCCCAAGCCCAGGUGUGCCUUGGAUCCUUGCCCGUUGUUGCAGGUGGGGAGGAUCCGUAUCAGUGUAAGUAGGUUUGCGAUGGGGAGAAAUUGGGUAGGGGAGGAAAGUAAUCAGGGUUUCUGCCAAUGUAUUUAGUUUGGUUUAUUAAGAACCUCAGGAGUCUUGAAAUGGGCAUCUUCAUCUUUCCCAGAGACGGGUAAUAUUCUCUUCUCACAGAGCUCUGCACAAGACUGGGAUAAAGUGAUGUGUGUGGAAGGCCCUUGUGAGCUGUGAGCUGUGCAUUGCUGGCAGAGGAAAGGCAUUCACUGAAAAUAUCUAAUUUUGCCUGGUUAUUGGCUCAGAUGAUGCCAGGACUCCAUUACACAGUGAUGACCCCUGGGAGGACGCAGGCACAGGGUCCAUGGUGUGACCCAUCCUUUUUGGAGUGAUUUUAUUUUAAGUAUCAGCAGACUAUUAUGAGGUUCCCCCUGAUUACUUAGAAAUGAGGGAAUCAGACUGCCUCCUACAGUCCAAUACUGAAAUGAACACACAUUGAAGUGCAGCUGGAGGGGGCUGCGUAGAUCCCAGCCUCAAAACCUUUCACGCCCACCAGAUGUCUUCACAGGUUGACUCGUGACAGGUAUUUUGGGCCCAGAUGCUAUUUGUGGAGAUAACAUCUCUACCACUUGGGUCUCUUAGAUUCUGUUUUCAGCUACUUGUUGUAUUUGUGUGUGGGGGGGAGAUGCAUAUGUGUGUGUGUAUGCAUCUGUGCAGAUGUGCACAUGUAUUUAGGGGGUGGGAUCUAUCUGCUAUAUGCAGAAGUGCCAAAAAGAAAGAAUGGUAGGUGGAGGGUGUAGAGCAUUCUUGAUCUUCUAAUAUUCUGAUUGAAAAUACCCAUAAAGCUGAGAACAAAAGGCAUUAAGAGCCCUCGAUUUCUAAAGGGAGUAGCUAGACCAGUUAUGCAGAACAUGCCAAAUGGGGAUCAAAAAAUCUGGUUCCAUUGCUGCUUUGGGAGUAUAAAGAGGCAUUAAAUGAUGGAGAGAGAGUGACCAAGAGCAGGAAUCCCUGCCCACACAUACCUCAAAGGAAGGGCAGGAGGCUCCCUGAGAACCACUGAGAGAAUGUGGUAUCACCUUGAGUUCAGAGGGCAAUCUGGAACAGAUGCCUAUUCCUUCCUAAAACUGAAAGCAAGAGGUCGUCUAGGGGCGCCUGGGUGGCUCAGUUGAUUAAGCAUCUGACUCUUGA